rnacentral:rRNA from 1 species
UAAGGGAUAUUGCGCAAUGGGCGAAAGCCUGACGCAGCAACGCCGCGUGAAGGAUGACGGCCUUCGGGUUGUAAACUUCUUUUAGCGCUGACGAGGAAGGACGGUAGGCGCUGAAUCAGUCACGGCUAACUACGUGCCAGCAGCCGCGGUAAAACGUAGGUGGCAAGCGUUAUCCGGAUUUACUGGGCGUAAAGGGUGUGCAGGCGGGGAAACAAGUGGUGUAUGAAAUCGCCACGCUUAACGUGGCGGGGUUAUGCCAGACUGUUUUUCUGGAGGACGAGAGAGGGGCGUGGAAUUCCGGGUGUAGUGGUGAAAUGCGUAGAGAUCCGGAGGAACCCCAGAGGCGAAGGCGGCGCCCUGGCUCGUACCUGACGCUCAGACACGACAGCAUGGGGAGCGAACGGGAUUAGAUACCCGUGUAGUCC